GNNACGCUGGCGGCGUGCUUACACAUGCAAGUCGAACGAUGAAAGCGGGAGCUUGCUCCUGCCGGAUUAGUGGCGAACGGGUGAGUAACACGUGAGUAACCUGCCCUUGACUCUGGGAUAAGCGUUGGAAACGACGUCUAAUACCGGAUACGAGCUAGGACCGCAUGGUCACUAGUUGGAAAGAACUUCGGUCAAGGAUGGACUCGCGGCCUAUCAGCUAGUUGGUGAGGUAAUGGCUCACCAAGGCGACGACGGGUAGCCGGCCUGAGAGGGUGACCGGCCACACUGGGACUGAGACACGGCCCAGACUCCUACGGGAGGCAGCAGUGGGGAAUAUUGCACAAUGGGCGCAAGCCUGAUGCAGCAACGCCGCGUGAGGGACGACGGCCUUCGGGUUGUAAACCUCUUUUAGCAGGGAAGAAGCGAAAGUGACGGUACCUGCAGAAAAAGCACCGGCUAACUACGUGCCAGCAGCCGCGGUAAUACGUAGGGUGCAAGCGUUGUCCGGAAUUAUUGGGCGUAAAGAGCUCGUAGGCGGUUUGUCGCGUCUGCUGUGAAAAUCCGAGGCUCAACCUCGGACCUGCAGUGGGUACGGGCAAACUAGAGUGCGGUAGGGGAGAUUGGAAUUCCUGGUGUAGCGGUGGAAUGCGCAGAUAUCAGGAGGAACACCAAUGGCGAAGGCAGAUCUCUGGGCCGUAACUGACGCUGANGAGCGAAAGCGUGGGGAGCGAACAGGAUUAGAUACCCUGGUAGUCCACGCCGUAAACGGUGGGAACUAGAUGUGGGGUCCGUUCCACGGAUUCCGUGUCGCAGCUA
rnacentral:rRNA from 1 species